rnacentral:rRNA from 1 species
CCUACGGGGGGCAGCAGUGAGGAAUAUUGGUCAAUGGACGAGAGUCUGAACCAGCCAAGUAGCGUGAAGGAUGACUGCCCUAUGGGUUGUAAACUUCUUUUAUAUGGGAAUAAAUUGUUCCACGUGUGGGAUUUUGUAUGUACCAUAUGAAUAAGGAUCGGCUAACUACGUGCCAGCCGCCGGGGUAAUACGGAGGAUCCGACCGUUAACCGGAUUUAUUGGGUUUAAAGGGAGCGUAGGUGGGUUUUUUAGUCAGGUGUGAAAGUUUGUGGCUCAAACGUAAGAUUGCAGUUGAAACUGGCAGUCGUGAGUACAAUAGAGGUAGGCGGAAUUCGUGGUGUAGCGGUGAAAUGCUUAGAUAUCACGAAGAACUCCGAUGGCGAAGGCAGCUCACUGGACUGCAACUGACGCUGAGGCACGAAAGUGUGGGGAUCAAACAGGAUUAGAUACCCGGGUAGUC